GGGCAGAGAAGUGUGAUAGGAAAGAUUCAGAACUCCUCGUACUGGGCGAGGGUAGAAGCCAGGCUCACUUCCCUGAAGGCGGUGUGAAAAGCUCCACAAAAAACAAAACACAAAAGACAACCGGCAAGCAUUCCAUUCACCGACGUUACUUUGUGGUUCUGUGAAUUGCCAGAGCAGCCAAGGACCUGAGGAGGAUCCAGGGUGUGAGCCAGAAGCCAGCACAACCAUCUUUCUCAAUGGAGGUGCCUUGUAUCUUACAAAGCAUUCUCUGUGGGUUUUCAUGCAUUUGAGAGAGGCACGUGCUUGCAACCACUCAUUUCUUCAGCUCCUGUUCCUGCCACAGUAGAGGCUGUGAUCUAUCCAAAUCCGUAAUUGCCCUCUUAGCAGAGGACUGUUGUGUUGAAACAACCCUCCUUGGCAACAAGUUGCAUUCAGUAAAUCCACUAGCCACUCGGAGUCCCUUCCCCAAGUCCCAGAUUCCCUGGGCCCUUGGAAGUCGUGAGUUUGGAUGUGGGGAGCUGGAGAAGGAUGCCUGCGGCCUCUAGCUGAGGCCACUAGCUGCAAGAAGACACUGUUACACAGUGAGGCUCUUCUGGGGAUGUAAGAAAGGCCCUAAAGUCAUGCCUUCUUCUGAUCGUCUGUGAAGAUGCUAGAUCUACUGAGAAAAACCUUUUUUAUCCAAGAGAGAAGAUGACCGGGAAAGCUCACACACAGCAUCUCUCUCGAAAUACUUGACAGACCGCAGCAAACCGCAACCACCCACUACCCAGCCGCCAGCAGCAGCAGGUCCUUCUAUCAGGGCUCUCGAAUUUAUCCAUCCUCUGAGAAGUCCCCAGAAUCCUAAAUGUAACACAUUUGCAGAAACCACGCAUCUGCAGCUGGCAAAAGCACACCCCUGCUAGAGUGCAGGGCAAGUGAUAGUCAGCUGCUGUGGAGCAGCCCCAGAUCCCACACCUGGGACUAAAACAAAAACCUUCUUAUAUUUCUGUGUUUUAAAAGAAACCAAAAUUCUCACUACAGUUAGUCUAGGGAAGUUUGGUGAAAAAUGUCAAUAAAGAUGACCAUUAAAUGUU
ensembl:lincRNA Gm21221 predicted gene, 21221